rnacentral:lncRNA from 1 species
UUAAGUACGCAAAUAGUAAACACAUUUAACUUCCUGAACUAGGCUACUAUACUAUUAGUAGCACCAAAUCAUUGGUGCUAUUAGGUUUUUAGCUCUUGGAUUUAAAAGAUAUACGGUUAGAAUGAUAGUGAUAUCUUAAGAUUGAGUGGAUGGCUGGCUAAAAAGUAUGAUCUAACGGGUGAAAAUAGUUAAAAGGUUAAAUCUAACAGUUGAAAACUUGGUGCUAUUGAUAGUAUAGUAGCUAGACUCUAAAUUUUAAAGAGGUAUAGCAUUAAUCA